rnacentral:rRNA from 1 species
AACGUAGGACGCAAGCGUUAUCCGGAGUUACUGGGCGUAAAGCGCGGGCAGGCGGCUGUCUAAGUCUGAUGUGAAAGCGCCCGGCUUAACCGGGCGAGGCCAUUGGAAACUGGAGAGCUGGAGGGCAGUAGAGGCAGGCGGAAUUCCGGGUGGAGUGGUGAAAUGCGUAGAUAUCUGGAGGAACACCGGUGGCGAAGGCGGCAUCCUGGACCGACACUGACGCUGAGGCGCGAAAGCUAGGGUAGCAAACGGG